AUGGCCGGUGUUGUUGUGAUUUUCGACUUCGACAAUACCAUUAUCGACUGCGACAGUGACAAGCUGGUCGUCGACGGGUUGGGUGCCACCGACUUGUUCAAUGAGCUCCUCCCCACCAUGCCAUGGAACUCUCUCAUGGAUCGCAUGAUGAAAGAGCUUCACUCCCAAGGAAAGACAAUCGAGGAUAUUGUGGAGGUGCUCAAAACGACUCCGAUUCAUCCCAGAAUUGUGGCAGCCAUUAAAACAGCUCAUGCUUUAGGAUGUGAUUUGAGGAUUGUGAGUGAUGCGAAUGUGUUUUUCAUUCAGACGAACUAGGAAGGCUUCGGAUUCAACCUUUCUGUGAUUUCACCGUUUGCCCUCAUGGCUGUAGCUUCUGCCCUCCUAACAUGUGCAAGAGUGUGAUAACUGAGGGAAUCCGAGCUUCGAUUGAAGGAAGGAAAAGAAUGAUCUACUUGGGUGACGGAGUCGGUGAUUAUUGCCCAAGCCUAAAUCUGAGGGAAGGUGAUUUCGUAAUGCCAAGGAAGAAUUUCCCGGUUUUUGAUAAGAUUUGCCAAAACCCUCUGGCUCUUAAGGCUGAGAUUCAUGAGUGGACUGAUGGGGAAGAGUUUGAGCAUAUUUUGCUCAAGUUGAUCAACAGGAUCACCAUUGAAGAGACUACAGCUGCUCAGUUCAUUACGACUGACUUCAAGUUAGAGACCCUCUCUGUUUCCGGUCAUGAGGUAUUCCAUAAAGCUCUUCCAGUUUUGCAGCAGUGGAUUUGAAAGGGCAAUUUGUAUAUUUAUGUAAUAAUUUUGCUGGCAAGUUAGUUGUAGUAAGCUAGCAAAAUAUUUGGGGAUAGGUGACCUUGGGAAAGUGAUGCGUGGAUACUUAUACAAUAGAUGGAAACCAAGCCUCAGCUAGAGCAUUAAUCAUUCGUUUUAUAUUAUGUUUACCCCUGUUCGAACACAAGGUUGAUUGAUUUGGUAAUAUCAGCAUUUGCACUAGAGUUUGAGAAAAGUUCCUGUAACUCGUGCUUCCAAAUGUUAUAGUAGAGUUUUAAAAUAAUGGGA